ACGAACGCUGGCGGCGUGCUUAACACAUGCAAGUCGAGCGGUAAGGCCCUUUCGGGGGUACGACGAGCGGCGAACGGGUGAGUAACACGUGGGUGACCUGCCCUCAGCUCUGGGAUAAGCCUGGGAAACCGGGUCUAAUACCGGAUAUGACUCCAUGACGCAUGUUGUGGGGUGGAAAGCCUUGUGCGGCUGAGGAUGGGCCCGCA
rnacentral:rRNA from 1 species